rnacentral:lncRNA from 1 species
UGUAUUCCCAUCAGAUAAGGAAAACUCAGAGAAACACUCAUCACACUUCGAGUGAAGAGCCUUGAUCUUUGAGAUACCCUCUCUCUCCUCACGGACGAGGAGCAGUUUCCAGGGUCUCAGAGCAGCUCUCUGAGAAAAUCUUGUGGAAUGGAGGUAGUUGUUAUAUCUCUGAGACUCCAAAAGAGGCAUCCAGAGGAUAUAUUGUGACGGGUGACUGGGAGAGUUUACCAUAAGGUGGCUGUAGCCACAGAGAAUAUGACUGUAAUGAAGGACCCCAGAAUGUCAAUGCCCAUCAGCCUCACAAAGCCUCUGACCAGCUGUAGAUUUCAUAAGCAUUUAAUCUAUUUCUGAUUUUGUUGCCACAGAAGCAAUCAAUCUGGAACAAGCAAACAUGGGACACCUACGAAAAGUUCUGUCAUAGUAGUGGGAGAGGAAAAUGGCGAGUUCUCCUGUGCCACCAGUACAGGCAAUGGGCACUGCACCUGCCCUCACAUGCCUCUGCAUUUCUGCAACAUGCUACUCAGUGGAGGGAGUCAGCAGCAGGAACAAAGAAACACAACUCUUCUGAGAAGAUCUUUGUGCUAAUGCUUGCAUACUCAUUUCACGGGACAGUCACACCAAAACAGUCCUCUGAAGAGAAUUUUUGUUUGUUCUGCAAAAACAGAGGGUGCUGGUGACAGAAGAACAAAACCCAAACAUUUUAAAUAAUGCGUCGCAGGUAUGGCUGAGUUGAGGUGUGCUUUCAUUGAAAUAUCGACAUUGUCAAUGGCAUUUCUGGAGAGUGAGCGUUGGUGCAAAGAGAUGAAAUUGCAUCAUUUGGCAGACACAAGGUGACCAUCGGCAUCUCCACAACUCCUACAUGACAUAGGUUCUCAGGAACUUUGUGAAGAGCUUCCUCCACCCAACACCACCUCCCAUGCCCGAGGAAGCCCACACCUAUACAUGCUGCUGUUACUGUUCAGAAACUGCAGCCACAAGCCACUGCAGAUCUGCAGCCAACCAGUCUGGGAUCAGAAGGAUGUAUCUGAGCUCUGGACCCCUGGCUGCUGGUGUGGUGGCACAGAAAACCUUCAGGCCAUCAUGCUGCCUGUGCCCACACGGACUAGGCUGCAUGCCAUGAUAACAGGUAUGUUGCUUGUCUCCAAAUUCAGGUGGAGCUCUGCCAGCUCUCUACAAGGUACCCUAUUCACACCUCACCAUGCUACAGGCCCCAGGCAGUCCUUGCUCAGCUUGUACUCAUACAUGGGCAGCUCAGAGCCACCAGGGCAGAGCAAGGGGCUCCAGUUGUGCCUGGGCACCUCUCUCUCACCAUCAUGUUGGGUGCUUUGCUGUGCUACUUAACCCCUGCACUAAGACCUGUAGCAAUUUUCUUUGCUGCUCUCCUCACAAAGCUGUUCUGCGUUGACUUACCAUCAAAUCACAACUUCGUAGUAGGGACAGGAAGAGAAAUGGAGGUAUACACACCUUUUGAACAAUGCUACAGCAAUAGGAAA